rnacentral:rRNA from 1 species
CUUUCGGUAGGCGAACGUACGGAUCGAUCUUUAUCAUCGAACGGAGGUGCGAGGGCUGUCGCUGUCCAUCAAAGGUCGCGCACGCCCGAUCCCUCUCUCAAUCCAUCUCACCCUGCGUGCAUCACCGGGUGGGUCCCCCUGGGCGGGAGGGCUUGCGUUUUCACAUAAAACUCGAUGCAGGGUAGAAUGUUUAUUUUGGCGGUCACCCGCAAUCAAUACAAUUUUCAACAACGGUUUUGUUGGUUCUAGCAUCGAAGAAGAACGCAGAGAAAUAUGAUAAGUAAUGUGAACUGCAGAAUUCAGAUAAUCAUAGAAUCUUUGACCCCACCUUGCCCCCCUCGGCAUUAGGAGGGCCACACCCGGAGGAUUGUGAAGAAAUCAUCAAAAAUCCUCUUCUAUGAUCCUUUUUGGUCGGGAAAAGGAUUUUUUGGACUAGGAGGUAUAAUGCUCGCCUUCGCGUUAGAAGGCGAGCUCCUAUCAAAGGAAUCAGGGUGGUCUGCUUUGGUGGUCCUCGACGUGAUAAGAUGUUUCUACGUUGAGGAAGCAUCAUCGUCCCUGCCAACAAUUGCAUCAAGGACAAAACGAGGGUGUUUCGGUCACCCCUAUAUACGUUGGCGGGAGGCUGGACCCACGAAACAGACCUGACCUC